rnacentral:rRNA from 1 species
AUUGAACGCUGGCGGCAGGCCUAACACAUGCAAGUCGAACGAGUGGCGGACGGGUGAGUAAUGUCUGGGAAACUGCCUGAUGGUAGGGGAUAACUACUGGAAAAGGUAGCUAAUACCGCAUACCAUCCGCAGGGACCAGAUGGGAUUGGCUAGUUGGUGGGGUAACGGCUCACCCAGGCGACGAUGCCUAGCUGGUCUGAGAGGAUGACCAGCCACACUGGAACUGAGACACGGUCCAGACUCCUACGGGAGGCAGCAGUGGGGAAUAUUGCAUAAUGGGCGCAAGCCUGAUGCAGCCAGGCCGCGUGUAUGAAGAAGGCCUUCGGGUUGUAAAGUACUUUCAGCGGGGAGGCGUUACCCGCAGAAGAAGCACCGGCUAACUCCGUGCCAGCAGCCGCGGUAAUUC